UAAAAAAAACAACAUAACAGAAAAAAAAAUUAAAAAUUCUUCGAAAUUUUAUUGAAAAUUUAAAAAAAAUGUUAAAUAUUGUAAUAAAAUAACAACAUCCUGCCCCAGCCUAGCGGAGAUUAAGGAUGCAAUUAAGAAGCUAAAGCUCAACAAAGCCCGGGGCGAAGAUGGCAUACAGCCUGAACUAAUGACUGCCGACCCGCAAAUAUCAGCGGAAAUUCUUCAUUCCCACAUUACCGCCGUCUGGAGCAAUGAAAAGCUGCCUCCGUCCUGGACAAAAGGCAUCGUAGUGAAGCUGCUGAAGAAAGGGACCUGCGUGGCUGCGGCAACUGGUGAGGAACAACCCUGUUCAAUUGUACCUACAAAAUUCUAGUCACGAUCAUACAAGGCAGACUCCAAUGUAUCGAACGCUACUUAAGGGACGAACGAGCUAGAUUACGCUUUCACCGAAACUGUGUUGCCUAAGUCGGUUCACAAAUAUUUGCAACUUUCGCGUCGCAGAAGCAGAGGCCAACAACGUUUCACAUCCAUUCAAUAGGACGGAUUUGAAAUUCGAAUUAAAAAUCGUAGCUUAAUGCGAGUUGUCAGAGCUUUGGAAAACCACGUCUUUUCGAGGCUUGCAAAGGCUGUCUUGGCUUUUUUGAUUCUGGUAACAAUAUCGUCUUUAGCUGCAUCAUCCAAUGUGAUUUGGCUUCAUAGAUAGGUGAAGCUGUUGACGUUUUCAAUGGGUUCUCCAUAAAUUGUGAAACUGUUUUGGAGCAAGGUGUUGAUCGGAUAGACUUAGUCCCGCCAUUGAAUCGCAAUCCUUCCUUUUUGGCUUGGAAGUCAUUAAGUAUACAUUAAGUUUGCAGGUGUCGGCCAUGGCAUAAUAGAGGACGAGAGAGAGGGAGAGCGAGAGACACAAAAAAACCUCAUAGGAAAUAUUUUGAGUACUAAAUAUUUUAACGCCGUCCGCAAUUACGACUUUUUGCGCCCCUUUGAUGUACUCUGCUCCACAAUGCUGCGAUCAAAGUAACUGCACAUUAUUCUCGCAUAAGUGGGGAACCCGAUUCACUCUAGCGCAAAUUUCGAAAUUUCCAGAGCUAAAUGCAUAUCUGGCAUCGAGGCUGAUAAUGAGAUCCUUUGGUGGGCUAAAACUCUUAUGGGUGCAUUGUUCCAUAUGCAAAAAUCCACAUCACAACUUCCGAAUUCGGUCACCUUUUCUUUGGAUACCAAAAAACAUCAGGCGAAUGCUGGUGGGGCUACUGCGAUGUAUUCGGCUUAAGAGCUUAACAGUGUAAGCAAUGUCUGUUAAAUAAGAACAGUGAUGCUGUUAUCAACGAGUUAAAUAACAUUUUCCAUCGAAUUUUGCAACAUCCUAAUUUCAAGCAAAGCAACAGACAUCUAUAAAGUGAACCAAGCAAUACAAGCAAUAAUGUAGAUUUGCAAAUAAAUAUAUUCAUACAUACGAGUAUAUAUGUAUGUAUAUAGAGAGUAACAAUAACAAAGAACAAUAAU